rnacentral:rRNA from 1 species
AUUGAACGCUGGCGGCAUGCUUUACACAUGCAAGUCGGACGGCAGCACAGAGAAGCUUGCUUCUUGGGUGGCGAGUGGCGAACGGGUGAGUAAUAUAUCGAACCUACCCAUGAAAGGGGGAUAAAUUAAUGGAAAGAUAGCUAAUACCGGAUAAUCUCUUGAGGCGGAAGGAAGGGGACUUCCGGGCCUUGUUUAUUUCAAGCGUCGGUUAUCUGAUUAGCUAGUUGGUGGGGUAAAGGCUUACCAAGGCGACGAUCAGUAGCGGGUCUGAGAGGAUGAUCCGCCACACUGGGACUGAGACACGGCCCAGACUCCUACGGGAGGCAGCAGUGGGGAAUUUUGGACAAUGGGCGCAAGCCUGAUCCAGCCAUGCCGCGUGUCUGAAGAAGGCCUUCGGGUUGUAAAGGACUUUUGUCAGGGAAGAAAAGGCUGUUGCUAAUAUCAAUAGCUGAUGACGGUACCUGAAGAAUAAGCACCGGCUAACUACGUG